GACGAACGCUGGCGGCGUGCCUAAUACAUGCAAGUAGAACGCUGAAGAGAGGAGCUUGCUCUUCUUGGAUGAGUUGCGAACGGGUGAGUAACGCGUAGGUAACCUGCCUUGUAGCGGGGGAUAACUAUUGGAAACGAUAGCUAAUACCGCAUAAAAGUCGAUAUCGCAUGAUGUUGACUUGAAAGGUGCAAUUGCAUCACUAAGAGAUGGACCUGCGUUGUAUUAGCUAGUUGGUGAGGUAACGGCUCACCUAGGCGACGAUACAUAGCCGACCUGAGAGGGUGAUCGGCCACACUGGGACUGAGACACGGCCCAGACUCCUACGGGAGGCAGCAGUAGGGAAUCUUCGGCAGUGGGGGCAACCCUGACCGAGCAACGCCGCGUGAGUGAAGAAGGUUUUCGGAUCGUAAAGCUCUGUUGUAAGUCAAGAACGAGUGUGAGAGUGGAAAGUUCACACUGUACGG
rnacentral:rRNA from 1 species